UUCGCAAUGCCCGAAAGGGUGACGAUGCGACGCCGCGUGGAGGAUGAAGGCUUUCGGGUUGUAAACUCCUGUCAGGGCAACAGAAGGGGAGGGGAGGAAACCCCCCGACCUUGACUGAGCCCAAGGGAAGCCCUUGCUAACUCCGUGCCAGCAGCAGCGGUAAUACGGAGAGGGCGAGCGUUGUUCGGAAUUACUGGGCGUAAAGGGCACGUAGGCGGGUCCGUAUGUCAGGGGUGAAAUCCCCCGGCCUAACCGGGGAAGGGCCUCUGAAACUGCGGGCCUCGAGUGAAGCAGAGGGGAGUGGAACUCUCGGUGGAGCGGUGAAAUGCGUUGAUAUCGAGGGGAACACCGGCGGCGAAGGCGACUCCCUAUGCUUCUACUGACGCUGAGGUGCGAAAGCCAGGGGAGCGAACGGGAUUAGAUACCCCGGUAGUCCUGGCCCUAAACGGUGGGCACUAAGUAGAGGGGUUUU
rnacentral:rRNA from 1 species